rnacentral:rRNA from 1 species
CACGUAGGGGGCAAGCGUUGUCCGGAAUCAUUGGGCGUAAAGCGCGUGUAGGCGGCCAGAUAAGUCCGCUGUGAAAUCUCGAGGCUCAACUUCGAGCUGUCGGUGGAAACUGUCUGGCUAGAGUCCGGAAGAGGAGAAUGGAAUUCCUGGUGUAGCGGUGAAAUGCGCAGAUAUCAGGAAGAACACCCAUGGCGAAGGCAGCUCUCUGGGACGGUACUGACGCUGAGACGCGAAAGCGUGGGGAGCGAACAGG